rnacentral:ribozyme from 15 species
AUGAACAUAAAAUAAGAAGACCUUGAACACGAAUGAACAAAUCCAUUACUUCUUUUUUCCUUUCUUUCCUUUCUUUCCUUUUUUACCGCCACCACCUUUUCUAAAAAUUUGCU